GCCCCGUAUUCUGGGCUGGAAUCGCACGGAUUUGGGCUGGAAUCGCACGGAUUUGGGCCGGCAGAACCCCCUGAGCUGCCCGCAUUUCCCUUCUGCUGACCCUCCGCCAUGCGCUGAUUUGAGGAAAGGGUCUUUUGGGGGCUUUUGUUGUCCCUCAGACGGCCCCGAUUUUCAAAGAAAGCCCUUUGAAAAUGCCCAAUUUCGGACCCGUCCUAUGGCCCACAGGCUGAAAUGGCACAAAUUCGGUCUGAGGCGCUUCAAAUUGCUCACAAUUUGAAGGUUUGCUCCUUUCUGAUGCUCAGAAGUGCAUUUAUUGGAGAAAAUGGUCCACUGGGGGCACCGCUGGGCUUCAAAUGGACCCAAUUUCCAAUGGAAGGCCUUUGAAAAUGGCGAACCCCGUCCCCAACUUACGGCCCAGGGGCUGAAAUUGCACAGAUGUGGUCCUAUGAGCCCUCAUUUCCCCUUUGCUGAUGCUCAGAAGUGCACCUAUGGGAGGAAAAUGCUCCAUUUUGGGUGUUUUGCCCUCAAAAAUACCCCCAAUUUUCAAAGCGAACCCUUUGAAAAUGGCGAACCC
rnacentral:lncRNA from 1 species